GGCUACGAACCACGGUGUCGGGGGUUCGAAUCCCUCCUCGCCCACAGCCUUCCAAAGGGGGAAGGACCUUUACU
rnacentral:tRNA from 2 species